GCUUAAGGGUAUCAUGACUCAAAAUAUUCCAACGUGACAUCCUUAUGUGGGCGGAUUGAGGCAGCAUCGCUUGGUCAGAGGGCGAGAGAUCUUAUAUAAAACAUAGAUAACAAUCAACCGUAUACUCUCACUUUGAAAAAGUUAACUCGAAGAAUACUUCCUAGUUCAGUCUACAAACACUUCAUUUCACGCCGCUCUUCGAGAGAGAGAGAGAAAUAUCAAAGAAACAACAGAAAGAAAAAAAGAGAAAGCAGUAAGAAAAAUCUCUGCCGACUAAACUUUUUCACUAAAUCGCGACUAACUUAAACCAAUGAAAGCGUAAAUUGCUAUCACGUGACAAGAGAUUAGUGUAAAUAUUCAAUUUCCAUUUGACAACUUUUUCUAUACCAUUUAACUGUUACUACGUGAGAAGUGUGUAUACCCACCUUGCGACUCUUAUCAAUAAGUUAACUGCAAUACACACACAAACGCACACGCGAUGGGCCUAAAGUUAUUUUUUCUGCUUCUAUCGCUUACUGGAACGAUCACAUUGUCAAAGACGCAGGUUCCAGAAAGGGAACGACAAAAAGUAAACAAAUUGACAUCACUGAAAGACUUGCAGGAGUUUUUACAUGUAAACGAUGGCGAUUUCCAAUAUGCCAGUACAAAUGAAAUUGUCAAUGCUGAUUUUUGCUCACCCCGGUUGACUACAAUAGAGAUUCCUCAACCAACAGAAUACAACAAGUAUUAUUGGCCAAAAUGUACCCGAGUAAAAAGAUGUGGAGGUUGUUCUGAACACGAGUCACUUGCCUGUGUUCCCACUGCUAAAGGAAAAGUUUUUAAAAAAGUACAAGUUGUGCGGUUAAAUUAUGACUAUUACGGAGCUCCAAGCAUGACUUUGGACAGAGUAGUUGGUAUCGAUCUUGAAACACAUACAGAUUGUGAACAAGUUUGCAAAGUGACAGAAGAUGAUUGCGAUGACAAAAUACAUAUCUACAGUUCUGCAGAUUGCUCCUGUCGCUGCAAACCGUCUUUAAAUACCAGAUGUACACAUCCUAAGACCUGGAACAAGAAGACUUGUCGCUGCACAUGUCCAAAAUUAAAAGCUUGUGGACAUGGUCUGUACUUUAAUAAAAUUCUUUGCACAUGCCAACAUUACCGAGGCUAUGAUGGAACUAACUUUGCAUCUGCUAAUGCCAGUUUUGUGAAGCAAAGCGAAAUUUCAAAAUCAGGGAGCAACCAGCUUGAUUCUAACAGGAUAAACAGUGAUGGUAAACCCCAGACCGAACGUGCUAAAACUGAUGCUGCUAUUACCAAUGGCCAGUCAACCGAUGAUCUUGAUAAAGGAAGUUUCCUGAUGGAGAUUCUAUCCACCGAAGGUCUUAAAACAACGACGAUGCCAACGACAAUAGAGACGACCACUGAAAAGAAAACAACUCCGAAGAUUACGAAACCUUCAAAAACGGCUAAUAUUUGUGCUUCAAAGAAAUGUCCUCCCAGGUGGAUGCCUGUUUUGCAAAGGAAUGGUCUCUGUGGCUGUAAACCUAACUUUGGUUAAAGACAAUUGAGCUAUAUCGAUGUGAGAAUUUAUUAUAUAAGUAGACACCAAACAUCAUACAUUUAUAUAUAUAUAUAUAUAUAUAUAUACAUAUAUAUAUAUUUGUAUAUCUAUGUUUGAAGGAGGGCAAAGUAUUUACUCAUUACAGAGAAGAGUAAUAUUUCAUCUCUGUAACUGUUAUAGAGUAUUUUCUCUUCCCCUUUUAGAAUAGGAAGAGAUGCACAAAUAUAUUUUUUUUAACCUUUGUUAGAAAGGGAUCAGUUAUAUUUCUCCAUCUUAAAUAAUAAUUAUAAUAUUUUAUUCCAAAACUGAAAGGGAGGAACAAUCUAUUGUACAUAUAUACACACAUUAUAUAU
rnacentral:misc_RNA from 1 species